AGUGAACGCUGGCGGUAGGCCUAACACAUGCAAGUCGAACGGCAGCACAGUAAGAGCUUGCUCUUACGGGUGGCGAGUGGCGGACGGGUGAGGAAUACAUCGGAAUCUACUUUUUCGUGGGGGAUAACGUAGGGAAACUUACGCUAAUACCGCAUACGACCUACGGGUGAAAGCAGUGGAUCUUCGGACCUUGCGCGAUUGAAUGAGCCGAUGUCGGAUUAGCUAGUUGGCGGGGUAAAGGCCCACCAAGGCGACGAUCCGUAGCUGGUCUGAGAGGAUGAUCAGCCACACUGGAACUGAGACACGGUCCAGAGUCCUACGGGAGGCAGCAGUGGGGAAUAUUGGACAAUGGGCGCAAGCCUGAUCCAGCCAUACCGCGUGGGUGAAGAAGGCCUUCGGGUUGUAAAGCCCUUUUGUUGGGAAAGAAAAGCAGCAGGUUAAUACCCCGCUGUUCUGACGGUACCCAAAGAAUAAGCACCGGCUAACUUCGUG
rnacentral:rRNA from 1 species